rnacentral:misc_RNA from 1 species
GCAUAUGAAUACAUGGGGGUUUGGUACUUGACACUUACGUGGGCAUUCAAUUAGAGACAAGGGGAUUGAUAAUGUUGUGAUGCAUGUUAUAAUUAUCUAAGAUUAGCCCAUACAGUUUUUAAAGGCAGGCAUAUGAUGCUAAUACAGUCUAAUGGUGUAGAAAAUCUUCCCUGUUUAUUUCUAAAAUAAUUGAGUUUGUGUUCAAAUGCUAUGCUCUCUUUUCUUUGUAACUUGCUUCGCAGGCUGUUG